GAUGAACGCUGGCGGCGUGCCUAAUACAUGCAAGUCGAGCGAAUGGAUUAAGAGCUUGCUCUUAUGAAGUUAGCGGCGGACGGGCGGGUAACACGUGGGUAACCUGCCCAUAAGACUGGGAUAACUCCGGGAAACCGGGGCUAAUACCGGAUAACAUUUUGAACCGCAUGGUUCGAAAUUGAAAGGCGGCUUCGGCUGUCACUUAUGGAUGGACCCACGUCGCAUUAGCUAGUUGGUGAGGUAACGGCUCACCAAGGCAACGAUGCGUAGCCGAGCUGAGAGGGUGAUCGGCCACACUGGGACUGAGACACGGCCCAGACUCCUACGGGAGGCAGCAGUAGGGAAUCUUCCGCAAUGGACGAAAGUCUGACGGAGCAACGCCGCGUGAGUGAUGAAGGCUUUCGGGUCGUAAAACUCUGUUGUUAGGGAAGAACAAGUGCUAGUUGAAUAAGCUGACACCUUGACGGUACCUAACCAGAAAGCCACGGCUAACUACGUGCCAGCCGCCGCCGUAA
rnacentral:rRNA from 1 species